rnacentral:lncRNA from 1 species
GUUUAUGGUUUUGGAUCCUCUGAUAUUGCAAAAUCAGGAACUCCAACUACAUCUUUCUCAUGCACAUCAGCUCAUCCUGGAGGACCUUCUCAAACUAUGUUUUCUUUAGAGGAGGUUGAACAAAUAUUAGAGCAAAACCGAAUCAAAAUGAAACAAGACAUGGAGCAAAUGCAAGAGCAAAUGCGAGUGCAGAUAGAAAAACAGAUAAAAGAUCAGAUGAAAUCAUUAAAGAACAAAAAUAUAUCUUCACCGCAUAACACAACUGCAGAUUCAGAUGGUUCAACAAAUUCAUAGAUUAGUUUUAAAUUUUAUAAAUAUUGUUAAGUAUUAUGGAUUUCUUUUUAAUUUUAUGAACAUUGUAAAGUAUUAUGAAUUUAUUUUAAAUUUUAUGAAUAUUGUUAAAUAUUAUAGAUUUAUUUUAAAUUUUA